UACUUUAUAUUCCUUGGUAAUUAUUAAAUAAGAUUUGUGCUCCAACAACAGGCAAUCUGUGUUGUUUCAUUAAAUAGAACUCGCUCAUUGUAAAAAUAUGUAUGCCGUUAUGCAAAUUUUAGCGUCUCUAUAAAAGACGAAGUUUCACGAGCUAUGAUUCAUUUAGAAUAAGUUAAAGCGAAUGCGUAUGAUAAAAUUACGUCGAUGGUGUCAAAAGGUGGUAAUAUAAAUUUUAUCGUGAAUAUUUUGAUAGUUCGAUAGCAAAUAUGUAUCGUAGAACGUAUAUAUAAAAUUAUACGUUGCUUUAUUACGGUGUCACCGUCACAUUUGGAUCUUUUGUGAAAUUCAUUUUGGAUCUUUGUAAUACUAUAAAUAAUUAAAAGAACUACGUUGGUCGAGCAGAUCUAUUUAAUUUUUGAUAUUAUUAUCUUAAAAGUCCUGGUUACAUACAGAAAUUUCUUUGAUAUAAUUGUUCUACGUAAUACAUUUGAAUUACGUAAAAUAAAUUAAUAAUUAUAAAACUUGUAUCAACGGUGAAUACUUCUUUUAGUUUAG